rnacentral:tRNA from 1 species
GGGCCCGUAGCUCAGCGGUGAGAGCAGGGGACUCAUAAUCCCUUGGUCGCAGGUUCGAAUCCUGCCGGGCCUA